rnacentral:misc_RNA from 1 species
CAUCAUGSAUGGGGUGUGAGCCGUGAGGGGUUCUCGUCUGUAGUGGACGAGGGCCGGGUGCACAACAACAGGCAUCGCCAGACACACUAUUGGCCCUGAGACACACUCGGCCGACUUCGGUUGAGUGGUGUCCCUCCAUCUUGGUGGUGGGGKGKGGUGUUUGAGKAUUGGAUAGUGGUGAAAMAC